AAAAUAAGGUAAAUUGUACGGACCAAGGCGAUGUACAAAAGUGAGUGAGUUUACGUUAGCUAGUUAACAGCCAUGGUGGAGGGUGACAGGACAUUAACGUUAGCCCCAACUGUCAGUGAGAGAUUAGGCUAUUCUGGAUAAGGCAGGCACUUUUGUGUAGUUCCUGUCCCUAGAAGUGAGGAUGGAGAUAAUAGUAACAUAAUAUUCAGUGUGGUGUAAUUUGACUAUAAUGAAGUCUGUUUCUUGUGAGGUUUUAUGUCCUCAUAAAGAGAGAUAUUGUCACGUUCUGACCUUUAUUUCCGUUGUUUUGUCAUUAUUUAGUAUGGUCAGGGCGUGAGUUGGGGUGGGCAGUCUAUGUUUGUUUUUCUAUGAUUUGGGUAUUUCUAUGUUUCGGCCUAGUAUGGUUCUCAAUCAGAGGCAGGUGUCAUUAGUUGUCUCUGAGAAUCAUACUUAGGUAGCCUGGGUUUCACUGUGUGUUUGUGGGUGUUUGUUUCCGUGUCUGUGUUUUUCAACACACGGUACUGUUUUGGGUUUCGUUCAUUCCAUGUUUAUUGUUUUUGUAUUCAGUUGUUCAUGUGUACUAUUUCGUAUUAAAAGAACCAUGGACACUUACCACGCUGCAUAUUGGUCCUCCGAUCCUUUUCGCCUCUCCUCUUCGGAAGAAGAGGAGGAAAUCCCUUACAGAUAUGAAAGCCUGUCUAUAUAUGAAGAGGUCCCAAUGAAGAGCAGUGGUUCUCAGUCCUGGUCCUGGGGGCUCAAAGGGGUGUACAUUUUUGUUUUUGUCUUAGCACUGCACAGCUGAUUCAAAUUAUCAACUCAUCAAGCUUCAAGUGGUAUUUAUGUAUUCUUUUGUGACCCUAUCCUUGAUAUGAUCCUGUUAUUGUCACAUGCACAUAUGUGUGGCCAUGCCUCUAUCGGUCCAAUGUUAUCAUGAUUUGUUAUCAGGGAUAUUAUACUUUAGUAAUCUACAAUGAUCUGGUGAUGUAAAACUCAAAUAAUUACAUUAUUAUUAAUUGUCUUCCAUAUUCCUACAGAUACCUUGUAACUGGAGAUUCAUUCAAAGCGAUUGCCUACAGUUAACGUGUAGGGCACUGCACGGUUGGGUGACCAGGGUCAUCUGGGACUGAGGAAUUCAGGUGUGUGAAGGCUACCUGUGUCCUGCAUAACUUCACCAGGAGGGGAUAUGCAGCCGCCGUGUGCCAGAGAAGUCUGCUGCUCUGCAGGAUGUUUCAAGGAUGGGGUACAACAACACAGCAAGAGAGGCAAUCCGUGUGCGGGAAAUCUUCACCUCCUACUUCUUUGAAGAUGGUGCUGUUCCCUGGCAACACAAUAGACUGCACUAUGCACAACCAAAGGCUCUUUUAAGAGCCAUUCACAUUGCAAUAAGAGUAGUCUUCCAUUUACUUAGCUAUGUCAUUUUUGCAGUUAUUCAAUUUCCAGUUUCUCUCCCUUUGAGUUCUACUUCUAAGGUGAGGGUGCUGUUUAGGUAAGGGUGUGAUGUCUGUACAAAAACAAAACAGGCUAUUUUAAAAUCACCCAUAUUGAAAAAAUGUAGAGCAAUUAGACACCCUAUAACCCAUACCUACACUCAUGUAUCAAUCUGAUUGAUGGAUUGUGUUGUGCAGUAAACAGGCUCAGGUGUAUAACUGUGGCUCCUUCCACCUUCAAAGAAUAGGCAAGAGGGCCAACCAUGGAGAAUAGUAAGACACUUCAUUAUUUCUAUAACUACGCUAUAUUGUUUGCCCUUGUGUGUCCGCUCAUGUUUUUUGGCAGAAAGUAUCUGCAGCCACACACCGAUUCCUGUUGAACAGUCUCUUUAAUUACCUUAUUUUCUCAAGUCUAUCUCCUUCACUUCAUCCCUCUUUCCUCUUCUCCCUAAAUCCUCUAGGUUAUAUCAGCUGUGUCGGUGAAACCCUCCCACAUUUGAACUGGCUACAUAGAUGGCACAGCAUGAUCAGAGAUGUUUUUAUUUGAGAGGAUGCCAACCCUGUCUCAUCAUCGCCACCUCAACUUUCGUGCCGACUAGACACUUAUGUAAUUGUUAUGAACUGAGAGAAUAUUUGGGUAGCACUAAUCAUUAAUCAUAUGCUGCCUUCCCUGCUCCUAUGUUCUUACCUCUUUCCCUGUCUUUUACACCUCUCUCACUGCCUCUUUCUUCCUGUUUUUAUAAUGCACAACAGAUGUGCAUUGAAGUACAGAUUGAACUUGUAUUUAUAAUAUUAUAAUAUUUGUAAUGCAUGUAUUUAUAACACUUGG
ensembl:lncRNA